rnacentral:rRNA from 1 species
AAUGCCCAAAAGGAGGUAGGCAUGAUUCUUAGGCAAAUCCGGGAAUCUCUAUGCCGAGCACCGAGACGAGUCCUAUGAGGACGAAGUGACUGAGACCACGCUUCCAGGAAAAGCCACUAAGCUUCAGCUGUAGAAAAACCGUACCGCAAACCGACACUGGUAGGCAGGGUGAGAAUCCCAAGGCGCUUGAGAGAACUCGGGUGAAGGAACUAGGCAAAAUGGCACCGUAACUUCGGGAGAAGGUGCGCCCUUUGGUGUGGUCACGUGCGUGACUGAGCAUCGAAGGGUCGCAGUAACCUGGCCGCUGCGACUGUUUAUCAAAAACACAGCACUCUGCAAACACGAAAGUGGACGUAUAGGGUGUGACGCCUGCCCGGUGCUGGAAGGUUAAUUGAUGGGGUCAGCCGCAAGGCGAAGCUCUUGAUCGAAGCCCCAGUAAACGGCGGCCGUAACAAUAACGGUCCUAAGGUAGCGAAAUUCCUUGUCGGGUAAGUUCCGACCUGCACGAAUGGCGUAACGACAGCGGCGCUGUCUCCACCCGAGACUCAGUGAAAUUGAAAUCGCUGUGAAGAUGCAGCGUUCCCGCGGCAAGACGGAAAGACCCCGUGAACCUUUACUAUAGCUUUACAUUGAACGUUGAGUUCUUCUGUGUAGGAUAGGUGGGAGGCUAUGAAACCGAGACGCUAGUUUCGGUGGAGCCAUCCUUGAAAUACCACCCUGAAGUGCUUGACGUUCUAGCCUAGGUCCGUAAUCCGGAUCGGGGACCAUGUAUGGUGGGUAGUUUGACUGGGGCGGUCUCCUCCCAAAGAGUAACGGAGGAGCACGAAGGUACGCUCAGCGCGGUCGGACAUCGCGCACUGUGUGCAAAGGCAUAAGCGUGCUUGACUGCGAGAUCGACGGAUCAAGCAGGUACGAAAGUAGGUCUUAGUGAUCCGGUGGUUCUGUAUGGAAGGGCCAUCGCUCAACGGAUAAAAGGUACUCCGGGGAUAACAGGCUGAUACCGCCCAAGAGUUCAUAUCGACGGCGGUGUUUGGCACCUCGAUGUCGGCUCAUCACAUCCUGGGGCUGUAGCCGGUCCCAAGGGUAUGGCUGUUCGCCAUUUAAAGUGGUACGCGAGCUGGGUUCAGAACGUCGUGAGACAGUUCGGUCCCUAUCUGUCGUGGGCGUUGGAGAUUUGAGGGGGGCUGCUCCUAGUACGAGAGGACCGGAGUGGACGUUCCGCUGGUGUUCGGGUUGUCAUGCCCAUGGCAUUGCCCGGUAGCUACGAACGGAAGUGAUAACCGCUGAAAGCAUCUAAGCGGGAAGCACGCCCCAAGAUGAGAUCUCCCAAAAAG